rnacentral:misc_RNA from 1 species
GAAAUGCGAUAAGUAGUGUGAAUUGCAGAAUUCAGUGAAUCAUCGAAUCUUUGAACGCACAUUGCGCCCUUUGGUAUUCCUUAGGGCAUGCCUGUUCGAGCGUCAUUUAAACCCUUCAAGCUCAGCUUGGUGUUGGGUGACUGUCCGCCGCGCGCCUCAAAUCGACCGGCUGGGUCUUUCGUCCCCUCAGCGUUGUGGAAACUAUUCGCUAAAGGGUGCCGCGGGAGGCCACGCCGUAAAACAACCCCAUUUCUAAGGUUGACCUCGGAUCAGGUAGGGAUACCCGCUGAACUUAAGC